rnacentral:rRNA from 1 species
UGAGGAAUAUUGGUCAAUGGACGAGAGUCUGAACCAGCCAAGUAGCGUGAAGGAUGACUGCCCUAUGGGUUGUAAACUUCUUUUAUAUGGGAAUAAAGUGGUCCACGUGUGGAUUUUUGUAUGUACCAUAUGAAUAAGGAUCGGCUAACUCCGUGCCAGCAGCCGCGGUAAUACGGAGGAUCCGAGCGUUAUCCGGAUUUAUUGGGUUUAAAGGGAGCGUAGGUGGACAGUUAAGUCAGUUGUGAAAGUUUGCGGCUCAACCGUAAAAUUGCAGUUGAUACUGGCUGUCUUGAGUACAGUAGAGGUGGGCGGAAUUCGUGGUGUAGCGGUGAAAUGCUUAGAUAUCACGAAGAACUCCGAUUGCGAAGGCAGCUCACUGGACUGCAACUGACACUGAUGCUCGAAAGUGUGGGUAUCAAACAGGAUUAGAUACCCUGGUAGUCCACACAGUAAACGAUGAAUACUCGCUGUUUGCGAUAUACGGUAAGCGGCCAAGCGAAAGCAUUAAGUAUUCCACCUGGGGAGUACGCCGGCAACGGUGAAACUCAAAGGAAUUGACGGGGGCCCGCACAAGCGGAGGAACAUGUGGUUUAAUUCGAUGAUACGCGAGGAACCUUACCCGGGCUUAAAUUGCAUUUGAAUAUAUUGGAAACAGUAUAGCCGUAAGGCAAAUGUGAAGGUGCUGCAUGGUUGUCGUCAGCUCGUGCCGUGAGGUGUCGGCUUAAGUGCCAUAACGAGCGCAACCCUUAUCUUCAGUUACUAACAGGUUAUGCUGAGGACUCUGGAGAGACUGCCGUCGUAAGAUGUGAGGAAGGUGGGGAUGACGUCAAAUCAGCACGGCCCUUACGUCCGGGGCUACACACGUGUUACAAUGGGGGGUACAGAAGGCCGCUACCUGGUGACAGGAUGCUAAUCCCAAAAGCCUCUCUCAGUUCGGAUCGAAGUCUGCAACCCGACUUCGUGAAGCUGGAUUCGCUGGUAAUCGCGCAUCAGCCAUGGCGCGGUGAAUACGUUCCC